rnacentral:rRNA from 1 species
CCUACGGGGGGCAGCAGUAGGGAAUCUUCCACAAUGGACGAAAGUCUGAUGGAGCAACGCCGCGUGAGUGAAGAAGGGUUUCGGCUCGUAAAGCUCUGUUGGUAGCGAAGAAAGAUAGAGGUAGUAACUGGCCUUUAUUUGACGGUAAUUACUUAGAAAGUCACGGCUAACUACGUGCCAGCAGCCGCGGCAAUACGUAGGUGGCAAGCGUUGUCCGGAUUUAUUGGGCGUAAAGCGAGUUCAGGCGGGUCAAUAAGUCUGAUGUGAAAGCCCUCGGCUCCACCCGAGAAUUG